GUCAUCACCCUGCUGAAAACUAGUUGUGUUUGAGCUACAAAGAUGUUUUCUGCAGUCGUUUUAUCAAUAAGCACACGGAGAACCAUCACCAAGAAAUUGGGCAUUGCCUUGCUUUGAAUUUCAGCGAUCUAUCAGUUUGGUGCUUUAACAAUGAUGCAUAUAUGGAUGUUCAGAUGAUCAUGCAACUAUGACCUAUUUAUGAAGUUACCCAUUUGCUAAAAUUUGCUAACAGAGGAAUUGACAAAGUUGGACGAGAAGCUUAAGUUCUAUGAAUCACUAUUGGAAAGCAAGAAUCUUGAAAUUAAGAAGAUAAAUGAUGAGAAGAAAGCAUCCUUGGUUGCUCAAUUUACAAUAGAGGCAACACUUUGAAGAGUUUAUGCGACUCAAAAAGAUGAUGACACACCUCCAAUUGAAGCCAUUCUUGCACCACUUGAGGUAGAGUUGAAGUUAGCAUGACAAGAGGUACCUUAUGGUUAUUCAGAUACAGAUCUAUAUAUGCCUGUUAUGAUCUGAUAUCAUUUGAACAGACAGUUCCAUGUUAUUCAAACUUCAGGCCUUAGUCUUUCCUGUUCAGAUUGCAAAGCUACAAGAUGACAACAAGGCUUUGGAUCGACUUACUAAAUCAAAGGAAGCAACACUAUCUUAUGUAAUGCGUUUUUAGUGAUGCAAAACCUUGGGCUUGCUCCUGAAGGCAAAGACUAACUUCUAUUUAGGAAGACUAGAUCAAGCAUUUGAAUUGCUGAAGAAGCU